rnacentral:sRNA from 1 species
GCUGGGCAUGGUGGUGUGCACCUGUAAUCCCAGCUACUCAGGAGGCUGAGGCAGGAGAAUUGCCUGAACCCAGGAGGCGGAGGUUGUGGUGAGCCGAGAUCGCGCCAUUGCACUCCAGCUGGGUAACAACAGCGAAACUCCGUCUCAAAAAAGAAAAAAAGUUGUAUGGGCUAAACAAUAAGGGAAAAUGGAUAUACCUCGCCUCCUCUGCGAUGUUACGUUUCUUUGUUUUAAGACAGAGUCUCUUUCUGUUGCCCAGGCUGGAGUGCAGUGGCGCGAUCUCGGCUCACUGCAACCUCUGCCUCCUGGGUUCAAGCGAUUCUCCCGCCUCAG